rnacentral:misc_RNA from 1 species
GGUGCAAAGAUUGAGGAAGAAAACCAAAAGCAACUAACUUUCAAGAAACGAAACAAAGACCUCAAACUUCCGCUAGACCUCGAAGACAACAAGCUCAUCAGUAACAGUACUUACGGCAGGGAAAGGAGGCGUGAAACUCCAAAGUCCAGGGCGUUUCAGUCUCAUAUAGCCUUGGGUUGGCUAAAAGGCAUCCAUGCUAGCGGACUGUCCAGAAAACCUCUUUCUAUCUGGAACCUUGAAACACCAUGCCAAGCUCACAUACCUUCAUAUUC